rnacentral:tRNA from 1 species
GGCCGCCUGGCGAAAUGGCAUCGCGUCUGACUACGAAGGUGUAAUCAGGAGAUUGCAGGUUCGACCCCUGCGGUGGUCA